CAGCUCUGGAGAUGUGGAAACAGGC
rnacentral:piRNA from 1 species